AGAGUUUGAUCCUGGCUCAGGAUGAACGCUGGCGGCGUGCCUAACACAUGCAAGUCGAACGAAGCACCUUUUAAGAUUCUUCGGAUGAUUGAUCGGUGACUGAGUGGCGGACGGGUGAGUAACGCGUGGGUAGCCUGCCCUGUACAGGGGGAUAACAGUUGGAAACGGCUGCUAAUACCGCAUAAGCGCACGAGAGGACAUCCUCUUGUGUGAAAAACUCCGGUGGUACAGGAUGGGCCCGCGUCUGAUUAGCUGGUUGGCAGGGUAACGGCCUACCAAGGCGACGAUCAGUAGCCGGUCUGAGAGGAUGAACGGCCACAUUGGAACUGAGACACGGUCCAAACUCCUACGGGAGGCAGCAGUGGGGAAUAUUGCACAAUGGGGGAAACCCUGAUGCAGCAACGCCGCGUGAGUGAAGAAGUAUUUCGGUAUGUAAAGCUCUAUCAGCAGGGAAGAUAAUGACGGUACCUGACUAAGAAGCUCCGGCUAACUACGUGCCAGCAGCCGCGGUAAUACGUAGGGGGCAAGCGUUAUCCGGAUUUACUGGGUGUAAAGGGAGCGUAGACGGCGCAGCAAGUCUGAUGUGAAAGGCAGGGGCUUAACCCCUGGACUGCAUUGGAAACUGCUGUGCUUGAGUGCCGGAGGGGUAAGCGGAAUUCCUAGUGUAGCGGUGAAAUGCGUAGAUAUUAGGAGGAACACCAGUGGCGAAGGCGGCCUGCUGGGCUUUAACUGACGCUGAGGCACGAAAGCGUGGGUAGCAAACAGGAUUAGAUACCCUGGUAGUCCACGCUGUAAACGAUGAUUA
rnacentral:rRNA from 1 species